UGUGGGAGCGAGCUUGCUCGCGAUGAGGCCGUGUCAGUCGAUGGAGAUUUCGACUGAUAGAUUGCUAUCGCGAGCAAGCUCGCUCCCACA
rnacentral:misc_RNA from 1 species